AGCGGCGGACGGGCGAGUAAUGCCUAGGAAUCUGCCUGGUAGUGGGGGAUAACGUCCGGACACGGGCGCUAAUACCGCAUACUCUCAGAUGAGCCUCGGUGGGAUUAGCUAGUUGGUGGGGUAAAGGCCUACCAAGGCGACGAUCCGUAACUGGUCUGAGAGGAUGAUCAGUCACACUGGAACUGCGACACGGUCCAGACUCCUACGGGAGGCAGCAGUGGGGAAUAUUGGACAAUGGGCGAAAGCCUGAUCCAGCCAUGCCGCGUGUGUGAAGAAGGUCUUCGGAUUGUAAAGCACUUUAAGUUGGGAGGCGUUACCAACAGAGUAAGCACCGGCUAACUUCGUGCCAGCAGCCGCGGUAAUUC
rnacentral:rRNA from 1 species